rnacentral:rRNA from 1 species
GAUGAACGCUGGCGGCGUGCCUAAUACAUGCAAGUCGAGCGAAGAGAUGAGGAGCUUGCUCCUCUGACGUUAGCGGCGGACGGGUGAGUAACACGUGGAUAACCUACCUAUAAGACUGGGAUAACUUCGGGAAACCGGAGCUAAUACCGGAUAAUAUAUUGAACCGCAUGGUUCAAUAGUGAAAGACGGUUUUGCUGUCACUUAUAGAUGGAUCCGCGCCGCAUUAGCUAGUUGGUAAGGUAACGGCUUACCAAGGCAACGAUGCGUAGCCGACCUGAGAGGGUGAUCGGCCACACUGGAACUGAGACACGGUCCAGACUCCUACGGGAGGCAGCAGUAGGGAAUCUUCCGCAAUAGGCGAAAGCCUGACGGAGCAACGCCGCGUGAGUGAUGAAGGUCUUCGGAUCGUAAAACUCUGUUAUUAGGGAAGAACAAAUGUGUAAGUAACUAUGCACGUCUUGACGGUACCUACUCAGAAAGCCACGGCUAACUACGUG